rnacentral:rRNA from 1 species
ACUCCUACGGGAGGCAGCAGUGAGGAAUUUUGCGCAAUGGGCGAAAGCCUGACGCAGCGACGCCGCGUGGAGGAUGAAGUCUUUCGAGAUGUAAACUUCUGUCAGUAGGGAUGAUAAUGACAGUACCUACAGAGGAAGCACCGGCUAACUCCGUGCCAGCAGCCGCGGUAAUACGGAGGGGUGCAAGCGUUGUUCGGAAUUACUGGGGCGUAAAGCGUACGUAGGCGGCGAGUUAAGUCGAAUGUUAAAGCCCGGGGCUCAACCCCGUGGAUGCCUUCGAUACUGGCUUGCUAGAGGGGUGAUAGAGGAAAGUGGAAUUCCGAGUGUAGCGGUGAAAUGCGUAGAUAUUCGGAGGAACAUCAGUAGCGAAGGCGACUUUCUGGGUCACACCUGACGCUGAGGUACGAAAGCGUGGGUAGCAAACAGGAUUAGAUACCCUGGUAGGAUAGCG